CUCCCCGGGGCGCAGGCAGUGAUCGAAGACAGGCUUCACAAGCUCCACACAACGUAUUCCUGGGAGUUCCUGGGGCUGGAGGGAUCAGAUGGCAAGGCAAGUGACUUGUGGGAGAACGUCGCCGAGUUCGGCAAGGGCGUCGUCAUUGGGAACGUUGACUCGGGUGUAUGGCCAACAUCUGAUAGCUUCAGGGCCGACGGCAUGGUCGCCCCGACGAAAUGGCUCGGUGGAUGCGAUGCUUCCGAUGACAUCGACAACGCCGGUUGCAACGGCAAGCUGAUUGGCGCGAGGGUCUUCAGCAAGGGCAUCCAGGCGCAGACCUCCUCCAAGGGUGGCCAGAUGAACCAGACCGUGGUGAACUCGCCGUGGGACUACAUGGGGCACGGCUCACACACGCUGUCCACGGCGGGUGGCGGCUUCGUCCCCGGCGCCAGCGCCUUCGGCCACGGAAUAGGCACGGCCAAGGGCGGCUCGCCGUGGGCGCACGUGGCCUCAUACAAGGCGUGCUACAAUGAGGGCUGCACCAGCCUGGACGUCCUCAAGGCCAUACUCACCGCGGUGGAGGAAGGCGUGGACGUGCUCUCGCUCUCCCUCGGCGAGCCCCGCGCCAUCGACUAUGCUGGAGACGCCAUCGCGAUUGGCACGUCGCUCGCCAUCAGUAAGGGGAUCGUCGUCGUCGCCUCCGCCGGCAACUCGGGGCCACAGCCAGCCACUGUCACCAACGUGGCGCCAUGGAUACUUACGGUCGCUGCGAGCACCAUGGACAGAAUCUUCCAAGUCGAUGUCAUCUUCGGUGCCACUACCAUCCAGUUGCAGGGACAAAGUCUAUCAAACAGCACCCUUGGCAACCAGGAAUAUGAGAUGAUCAGUGGCGAGAAUGCCAAUUUUGAAGAUCAAUCUGCCACCGACUCGGCGAUGUGCUUGCCGGGCUCCCUGGACCCCAGCAAGGUGAGCAACAAGAUAGUUGUGUGCACCAGAGGAGGGGGCACAAUCAGUACAGGGCAGGUGGUGAAGGAGGCCGGCGGCGCCGGCAUGGUCCUCUGUGAAGGCUCCGGCAGCGACAGCAGCAUCAGUGCUGAGCCGCAUGUCAUCCCGGCGGCUCAUUGCUCCUACUCCCAGUGCAGGGAGAUCUUGGACUAUCUCCAGUCCACUACAUCACCGCCGGUGGGUCAGAUCAAAAUUAGGGAGGCGAAGGUGGGCGUGACGCCGUCGCCGAUGAUGGCAGACUUCUCAUCACGCGGGCCCAACACCAUCACUCCCGAGAUCCUCAAGCCUGACAUCACGGCGCCAGGCGUGAGCGUGAUCGCCGCCUACAGCCAAGGGGUCUCGCCAACCGGCCGGUCUUUCGACGACCGGCGUGUCCCUUACACCGUGCAGUCCGGCACCUCCAUGGCGUGCCCUCACGUGGCGGGCAUCGCUGGCCUGCUCAAGGCGACAUACCCAAACUGGAGCCCCUCCAUGAUCAAGUCCGCCAUCAUGACCACCGGUGCCAAUGAUGGCAGCGGGAUCCGGGACAAGAUGGGCACGGCCGCCACGCCGUUCAACUAUGGGUCGGGCCACGUGAACCCGGUCAGGGCCCUUGACCCGGGCCUGGUGUAUGACACUAAGCCGCGGGACUACGCCAACUUCAUCUGCUCACUGAGGCCCACCAGCACCGAGGGCCUGUUGCCGACCUCCCCCCCUCUCCCACUUUCAGACUUGCUCAUCCCUCUACUCCUCGGCGCCGACGCCGACCCCUUCGAGUGUAGCCAGCUGGGCGGGGUCGACGGCCCGGAGAAUCUCAACUACCCGUCCAUCGCCACCACCUGCCUGCCCGUCUCCGGCAGCGUCACUGUGAAGCGCAGGGUGAAGAACGUGGGCGGCGGGGCGCCCACGUACACGGCCAGUGUCACGGAGCCGGGCGGGGUCAGGGUCACGGUGCAGCCCAGCACACUGAGCUUCGGUGGUGAGAUCGCCGAGGAGGAGAAGGACUUCACGGUGAUGCUCGAGGUGCACGACGCUGCCGUGGCCGCUGACUACGUGUUCGGCGGCAUCGAGUGGUCGGACGUGGACGGGGGGCAUCGCGUCUGGAGCCCCAUCGUUGCCACCACCAAGUGCGGCUAG
rnacentral:rRNA from 1 species